rnacentral:rRNA from 1 species
UACGUAGGAGGCAAGCGUUGUCCGGAAUACUGGGCGUAAAGCGCGUGUAGGUGGUGGGACAAGUCUGCUGUGAAAGCGCCUGGCUUAACCGGGCGAGGUCGGCGGAAACUGUCCGACUCGAGGACGGUAGAGGGGGGUGGAAUUCCCGGUGUAGUGGUGAAAUGCGUAGAGAUCGGGAGGAACACCUGUGGCGAAGGCGGCCCCCUGGGCCGGCCCUGACACUGAGACGCGAAGGCGUGGGGAGCGAACGGG